CAGUCGACGAUGAAUCUUCUAGCUUGCUAGAAGUGGAUUAGUGGCGCACGGGUGAGUAAUGCAUAGGUUAUGUGCCCUUUAGUCUGGGAUAGCCACUGGAAACGGUGAUUAAUACUGGAUACUCCCUACGGGGGAAAGUUUUUCGCUAAAGGAUCAGCCUAUGUCCUAUCAGCUUGUUGGUGAGGUAAUGGCUCACCAAGGCUAUGACGGGUAUCCGGCCUGAGAGGGUGAUCGGACACACUGGAACUGAGACACGGUCCAGACUCCUACGGGAGGCAGCAGUAGGGAAUAUUGCUCAAUGGGGGAAACCCUGAAGCAGCAACGCCGCGUGGAGGAUGAAGGUUUUAGGAUUGUAAACUCCUUUUGUUAGAGAAGAUUAUGACGGUAUCUAACGAAUAAGCACCGGCUAACUCCGUGCCAGCAGCCGCGGUAAUACGGAGGGUGCAAGCGUUACUCGGAAUCACUGGGCGUAAAGAGUGCGUAGGCGGGGUAAUAAGUCAGAUGUGAAAUCCUGUAGCUUAACUACAGAACUGCAUUUGAAACUGUUACUCUGGAGUGUGGGAGAGGUAGGUGGAAUUCUUGGUGUAGGGGUAAAAUCCGUAGAGAUCAAGAGGAAUACUCAUUGCGAAGGCGACCUGCUGGAACAUUACUGACGCUGAUGCACGAAAGCGUGGGGAGCAAACAGGAUUAGAUACCCUGGUAGUCCACGCCCUAAACGAUGGAUGCUAGUUGUUGCCUUGCUUGUCAGGGCAGUAAUGCAGCUAACGCAUUAAGCAUCCCGCCUGGGGAGUACGGUCGCAAGAUUAAAACUCAAAGGAAUAGACGGGGACCCGCACAAGCGGUGGAGCAUGUGGUUUAAUUCGAAGAUACGCGAAGAACCUUACCUAGGCUUGACAUUGAU
rnacentral:rRNA from 1 species